AGUUGUAGAAUCACUGGUGAAUAAGGGGUGGGCAAGUUCUGGUGUCAGCCGCCGCGGUAAAACCAGCACCUCGAGUGGUCAGGAGGUUUAUUGGGCCUAAAGCAUCCGUAGCCGGUUGCAUAAGUUUUCGGUUAAAUCUAUGCGCUUAACGUAUAGGCCGCCGAAAAUACUGUGCAGCUAGGGAGUGGGAGAGGUACACGGUACUCGAUAGGAAGGGGUAAAAUCCUUUGAUCUAUUGAUGACCACCUGUGGCGAAGGCGGUGUACCAGAACACGUUCGACGGUGAGGGAUGAAAGCUGGGGGAGCAACCCGGAUUAGAUACCCGGGUAGUCCCAGCUGUAAACGAUGCAGACUCGGUGAUGCAUUGGCUUGUGGCCAAUGCAGUGCCGCAGGGAAGCCGUUAAGUCUGCCGCCUGGGAAGUACGUACGCAAGUAUGAAACUUAAAGGAAUUGGCGGGGGAGCACCACAAGGGGUGAAGCCUGCGGUUCAAUUGGAGUCAACGCCAGAAAUCUUACCUGGGGAGACAGCAGAAUGAAGGUCAAGCUGAAGACUUUACCAGACACGCUGAGAGGUGGUGCAUGGCCGUCGCCAGCUCGUGCCGUGAGAUGUCCUGUUAAGUCAGGUAACGAGCGAGACCCCUGCGUCUAGUUGCUACCAUUACUCUCUGGAGCAGUGGAGCGAAUUAGACGGACCGCCACAGUUAAUGUGGAGGAAGGAAGGGGCCACGGCAGGUCAGUAUGCCCCGAAACCCUAGGGCUACACGCGGGCUGCAAUGGUAUUGACAUGUGUUCCGAAUCCGAAAGGAGGAGGCAAUCAUCAAACAUAUCUCAGUUAUGACUGAGGGC
rnacentral:rRNA from 1 species